AUGUGGUGUUCAGGCAUGCACCUUGGGGCGGCUCGUCUACUCGAAGUCCAACUCCGAUUAUGGCAUUGGAUGUGUCCCGAAGCGGGUGUAAGGCCCGUACGAGUAGACUUGGCGCAAUAGAGCUGUCCCUUGAUGUGUGUGUCUUGGAGUCGGAUUGCUUGAGAAUGCAGUCCAAAGCGGGUGGUAAACUCCAUCCAAGGCUAAAUACUGGCACGAGUCCGAUAGUAAACAAGUACCGUGAGGGAAAGUUGAAAAGUACUCUGAAGAGAGAGUAAAUAGUACGUGAAGCCGCUUGUAGAGAAGCUGGUGGAGUCAAGCUCCAUGCCUGCACGAUUAACAACGAGAGUAUGAUGUGUUCGCGUCUAAUGGCUGGUGGAUCUGGAAACGUUCCGAGAGAUUCGCGUCUCUUGUUGAGCCGACCGGUGAGUCGCUUAUACUGGCCAUGAAGACUUCUCUCUUGUGUCCUAUCGUCAGGCAGCCACCAUGAUUGAUACUCCGUCUGGUGUGCGGUCGCUACACUGUCUCAUGUGGGCCCCAGGCUUGCUGAGUUCAGGAUGGCGGGUGGUGUCCCGGCGCGCUUGCCGUGCCCGGUGACACACGUACUGGUUUAAUCCUGCCGGUGACCGUGCUCGUGCUCUACCAUGCGGUUGAGUAUCAUACUAGUGCCCUCGUGUCCGAUUGCAAUGGUAGCGUUGGGCGAGAAUCAUGGUGUUGGAGUAGAUUUUCCACCCGACCCGUCUUGAAACACGGACCAAGGAGUUUAACACGUGCGCAAGUCAAUGGGCUACUUUGCAAGUACGAAACCCAGAGGCGCAAUGAAAGUGAAAGGUCAUCUAUGUUGGCCUUAGGUGUGAUCCCGGCUGUCCCACACAAAGGCUGCUCGGGCGCAACACCGGCCCGUCUCAAGAUGUAGUCACUGGGGCCACGGCCCUGGUGCAUCAUCGAGGCGGCGCA
rnacentral:rRNA from 1 species